GGCUCGUUGGCUCAGUUGGUUAGAGCGCCGCGCUGUGUACGACGGAGGUCGUAGGUUCGAUCCCUACACGGGCCC